rnacentral:rRNA from 1 species
UACGAAGGGGGGCUAGCGUUGCUCGGAAUCACUGGGCGUAAAGCGCACGUAGGCGGAUCUUUAAGUCAGGGGUGAAAUCCCAAGGCUCAACCUUGGAACUGCCUUCGAUACUGGGGAUCUCGAGUCCGGAAGAGGUUGGUGGAACUGCGAGUGUAGAGGUGAAAUUCGUAGAUAUUCGCAAGAACACCAGUGGCGAAGGCGGCCAACUGGUCCGGUACUGACGCUGAGGUGCGAAAGCGUGGGGAGCAAACAGG